rnacentral:rRNA from 1 species
UGCCAGCASAAGCGGUUAGACGUGUAGGCUCAAGGCUUAACUAUCGGUCCAAAAGAUGGUUAUGAAAUUAGUUGGGGAAUAAAAAGCAUCUUUACAGUAAAAUGGAUAAAUGUUUUCCUCCACUUCCCCUAUUAGCAGAAUCCAUGAAACUUUUAUGAGAAACCGGGAUUAGAGACCCCGUUAUCUAAAGCUUAAACUACAAAUACCAGGGUAUUACGAACAUCGUUUAAAACCCAAAGAGCCUGGCGGCCUUCAACAGUACUAGGGGAACCUGUGUGGUAAUCGACACUCCACGUUAACAACUUACCUUCCUUUGAAAAAUCUCAGCCUGUAUACCUCCGCCUUAGCUCACCUUUAAGAGACUUAUAGUGAGCAAGAAGUGAACUCCACCAAAUGGCAGGUCAAGGUGCAGCUUAUGGGAAGGAGCAUCAUGGGUGACAAUUCGUUAUAAGAAUAAUGGACUUCUCUUGGAAACAAGUGGAUGAAAAUGGACUUAGAAGUAAGGAGUCCUUUAGAAAAGCCUCCUGAAACACUCCCUAGAAGGUGCACAAAUCGCCCGUCACUCUCGUCGAAAGAUGAGAAAAGUCGUAACAAAGUA